AGCUCCUUAGUUUAUUUAAGAUUUUUACAUGUGGUGUAAAAGAAAUUUGAGCUU
rnacentral:tRNA from 1 species